UGUUACUGCGAAGGGGGGACGGAGAAGGCUAUGUUAGCCGGGCGACGGUUGUCCCGGUUUAAGCAUGUAGGCUGGUUAUCCAGGCAAAUCCGGAUAAUCAAGGCUGAGGUGUGAUGACGAGGCACUACGGUGCUGAAGUAACAAAUGCCCUGCUUCCAGGAAAAGCCUCUAAGCAUCAGGUAACAUCAAAUCGUACCCCAAACCGACACAGGUGGUCAGGUAGAGAAUACCAAGGCGCUUGAGAGAACUCGGGUGAAGGAACUAGGCAAAAUGGUGCCGUAACUUCGGGAGAAGGCACGCUGGUGUGUAGGUGAAGCCCCUGCGGGUGGAGCUGAGACCAGUCGAAGAUACCAGCUGGCUGCAACUGUUUAUUAAAAACACAGCACUGUGCAAACACGAAAGU
rnacentral:rRNA from 1 species